rnacentral:lncRNA from 1 species
CCUUAAUCUGGGUGGGCACCAUCUUGUCAGCUGCCAGUGGGACCAGAAUAUAAAGCAGGCAGAGAAAUGUGAAAAGACUAGACUGGCUUAGCCUCUCAGCCUACAUCUUUUUUCCGUACUGGAUGCUUCCUGUCCUCAAAUAUAGGACUACAAGUUCCUCAGCUUUGUGACUCAGACUGGCUUCCUUGUUCCUCAGCUUGCAGAUGGCCUCUUGUGGAACCUUGUGAUCGUAUAUGAAUAAAUGAAGGACGUUGAGAUGGGGAGACUGCCCUUCUGGAAGGGCUCGAUGUAAUCACACAGGAUCUCCUAAGAGGAAGGAAGAGGUGUCAAAGACUGAGAAGGAGAAAUGAAGGCAGAGGCAGAGUUCGAAGUGAUGUGAUUGCUAAAGGUGAUACCUGGCCAAGGAAUGUGGGAAGCCUCUAGAAGCUUGAAAAGCAAAUCAUGGAAAUAAGAAAAUCAGAAUGGAUUAUUUCAAGCAUGAGAAACAUUUUACCAACAUUUACAUUUGCUAUAUCAACAGUUUCUAUUGGGUGGCACUUCUAGGAAUUUUGAUACUGACAGCAGCUUCGAACAUGACAAAGAUGUGACUGAGGUACCGGUACGUCCUGUGGAAUUACCGUCUGAGCUGGUGUUGCUAUCAAACCUGCAUUGCUUACCACGGUGAUAUCUCUCUUCUAAAAAAGAAAAGAGAGAGAGAAACAGAUGAAUUCCCCAGAAACUUCUUUUUAGCUGUAGACUAAUCACCUGCUUGAUCCCAAAAUGUGAGACGAGUUCCAUUUCCCAUCGCUUGUCCUGCUUCCCUCCAUUAAAAAUAGUAGGUAUUUGAGCUAACUUCUCUCAGCACAUCAUUUUCACAACUUCUCUGUAAAAUGGGAAUGAUUUCCCUGGUGACUUUGUAAAUUGUGUUUUAUUGUUUAUUUCUAUUUAUGUCAAAGAAAGAUAAUGUGAAAUUGUCAAAACUUGCUAAAUGUAAUAUACAAAUAAAUGUUGGUAAUUAACUA